CUCAUUGCCCUUGCCAUUCGGGUCGAGAAGCGAUUCGAGCUACGACGUAGAGCCCGUCGCAUGGAGACAACUUUCCCCUCCACUUCCUCUGUCAUGGCUGUCCCCGUUACCGCCCGAGCUGAGCCCGAGCCCAUGCAGUUGGGAGGCCUACGCAUCUCUCCUAAGGAGCGGGAGAGAAGGAUCGCUAACCGUUUGUGCAUGUACUGUGCAGCCGCUAAUCACUUUGUUUCUGAGUGUCCAGUAAAAGCCAGCGCUCGUCGGUAAGCGGAGGGUUACUGGCGAGCGCCAUCACACGGAAAACCCCUUCCAGGUCUUGCACGUCACUUCCAGUCAUGCUUCAUUGGUCCGCUUCAUCGGUUGCCAGUUCUGCCUUAAUCGACUCUGGGGCAGAGGGAAAUUUUAUUGAUGAGGAUUGGGCUCUACAACAAGAACUCAGGCGAGUGUGGUGCUUAAGAGGUACCUGUGAGGGGUGUACGUUUGCCUCUGGCCUCGCCUUCACCUGAACCGGCUGCCCUGAGAAGCCUUGCUGCCACUUUCAUUUCUCUCCGCCACAGAGGACUUUGAGUUAACCCUUUGCCAGCCAUCUGGAUAUUUUUCUGUUCCUUUGUGUUUGUGUUGAUGCCGUUUUUUGCCUGUGGUCAGCUUCAUUAAAUUGAGAACAUUUUCUGCUA